GUGUGUACGUUUUUGUGUGUGUGUGUGUGUGGUGAGUCUACACUGACAUGGUGCUAUAGAGAUUUCUGUGAUGUACACUAGUGGUCUACAGGUGAGGGUCAGCAGGAUUUAUAAAUGUGUUUAACUCAGCUUCUCCUGCUCAGCAGACGGUGUUUAUCUCCUCAUAAAUACAGCUCAGAGUAAUAGAGGGAACUGUUGAUGCACUCGACCAUAACUCUUCAACAGUAGUUUAUUCUUUCAUUAAAUCAUUUAUUCUAGUGAGUGUUCAGUUUCAGAGUCACACGAUUCAUCAGAAACCACUCUGAUAUGAAGUGUUGUUGUUGUUAUUGUUAUUAAUGUUAUUAUUAAUGUUGUUAAUGGUAAUAGUAAUAAUAUAAUAAUGACUGGAGUAAUAGUUUCAUUUAAACUACACACAAUAACUAAUAAAUAAAUCUUUUUCCCACAUUUAAUAACUCUGCCUUGAUGAACAGAAUCAUUUGCUGUUGACCGGUGCUGUAUAUUGCCAUAUACAUGGUUAUCCAGUGCUUUUGCUCAGUUCAGUUCAGGUUCAGUUCCUGCUUUUAGCAGACCAUUACCUGACCGUCGCUUCAGUAAACUCCUAAUUUGCUGAUUAUUAACAGUAAUUAAUGUAGCUGAGGUGUUGGGCAGAGUGAGGGGUGUAGAAUAAGAUCAUCCAGGACAGGUGCUGUAUAAGUACUAAUAACAGCCAAUAUCUCAAUAACAUCAAUAAUGGAUCAGAGUCUGCAGACAUGUUGAGCUAUUUCUGCAGACAACUGUGUAAGAAUCAGUGGAUGUGUGCUGAAGGAGUUUUGUAACUAAAAUCUUAAUAUCUGAAAUAAAAGAAUAGCCUUUUAACUUGCUUUAUUUAAUCUUUAUAAUGCAAAUCCAUCUGGAGCCACUUAUUUAUUAAACAGCAAGUCUCUCAUAUAAUAUCUCCUCUAUAAGACAGAAGAUAUUACUGUACACACUCUACUGUACAUUAUUCCUGAAGUUCAUUUAGAAACUGAGUAAAUCUACAUGUACACAAGUAAAUAAACAGACUCAGAGAUGGCCUAAAUCUGUGUGUGCGGAUUCCCUGCGGCCCGACUGAUAUAAUGGUGAGUGUUGAUCCCUGAAGUGAAUAUAUUAGUUCUGUUCGUCUGGGAUGAUCCUGUAGAGCAGUGAGUGAUGAUCUCCAGGCACAGAUCAAUGCAGUAAAGCAAAGAUUCCAGUGAGAGUAACAGUGGAUGUGUGUUAGGACCCCCUCCAUUGAGGAGCCACUUAAAACAGCUCAGACAGAAAAGCAUCUAUAUGCAACUUAUUUAUUAUGUAUAAAACUAACAGAACAACUAAUCAAGGGACAAGCAAACGCCCAGGGAGAAAUAAAGAAGAUAAGGAGCUUACCAUAUAACCACAACUCACCUUUCGGGGUCUCACCUUUAUUAGACAGGACAGUAGAGAGUAUUGACAGCACAGUGCGGGGAGCAGAGAGAGGGGAAGGAUCGGCGUAGGACCAUGAGGCGGAAUCUAACUCGGGUCGCCGUGAGCCCCAGAGUGCAUGUGUCGACGCACUAACCACUACACCACUGGCACCGACAACCUCAACUAACUCUGACUACAUAAUGCCAUAUAAAUAAUGCCAAACGAAACCAGGUCACAGGAGGAAGAGAUGGUCUCGACAUGAGGACGCCCAAGUAGCCACAGCGUCCUCCAGAUCCAGCACACACUCUUAUUCAUAUGAUCUAAUUAGAAGCAGGCACCCAAUCAGGAUCUGCCACAUCCAGACUGGAGUCCUGGGGUCGUCACGUGUGUUAUUGAUUUAGAUAUGUCAACACAUAUACUGUGCAGGCCUAUUCAGCACUGUGUGCAUGCAGUGGGUCAGAAGUGUGUGUGUGUGCGUGUGUGUGUGCGCGUGCAUGCAGUGUGUCAACUUUGCAUGUGUGCGUGUUGGCGCGCAGUGGGUGAGCUCUCUUUGAGUGCGUGUGAGUGUGAUGGGUCAGCUGGAUGUGUGUGCGUGUGCGUGUGUGUGUGCGUGUGCGUGUGCGUGUGUGUGUGUGUGCAGUGGGUCAGCUCUCUUUGUAUGCGUGCGUGUGAAUGUGAUAGGUCAGCUGGAUGUGUGUGUGUGUGUGUGCAGUGGGUCAGCUCUCUUUGUGUGCGUGCGUGUGAGUGUGAUGGGUCAGCUGGAUGUGUGUGUGUGUGUGCGCGCAGUGGGUCAGCUCUAGGGCUGUGUGUGAUUUGGGGAAAAUAUCUAAUUGUGAUGUAGUUUUGUAGUCAAGCUUCAGCUCAAUAGUCUGUAUCGGAGCUUCUUACUGCUUAACUGCAGUGAGUGUUGGUUAAAGAGGAACUGAGAGGAGAUGACCUGCAACAUUAUUCAUUCAGCUUUCCUUCAGCUUAGUCCCUUUAUUAAUCAGGGGUCGCCACAGUGGAAUGAACCGCCAACUAUUCCAGUAUAUGUUUUACGCAGAGGAUGCCCUUGCAGCUGCAACCCAGUUCUGGGAAACACCCAUACACACUCAUUCUCUCUCUCACACACACACACACACACACACACACACUCAUACACUACAGCCAGUUGAGUUGAUCACUGAGUGCCACUGACAGUUCUUCAGGUGAUUUUUCAGCCAGACGCUCCUCAUGCUGCCUCCUGUGGGGCUGUUUUAGGUGCUGAUUGUUGCAUUUCUUCAUGCUCUGGUCUGGCAACAGUUCUGCGAGCGCUCUACAAAUGACCUGCUUUUGUUCGGUGUCUGUGACUUUGAACCCAGGAUAUUCCCGUAUUACUGACGUGCUGUUUCUCUCUGAUAUGAACUGGUCUGAUAAUGCUUCUGAAGCAGCAGACGCCAUCAUCCCACUCGUUAUUGUGGGCGUUCCGCAGAGUUCAGUUGUGCAGUUCUGAUUGGGCAGAAUGAAAGUGUCCUCACUCAAUUGGCUAAUAAGACUGUCACACACAGACGGCGGUCAGGCAUUUGCUCUGAGCAGGAGAAAUGAAAUAAUGCAGAUAUAUUUCAUAUCACAGCCUCUUACCAUGAGAUAACCACAGCGUUUCACAGCACGAUUACUUCACUCUCUCUUCAACUGUCUCCAGAUCUGUGUGUGUGUGUGUGUGUGUGUGCGUGCGUGCGUGCGUGUGCUGCUCUUGAUCUCUGUAAUGUUCUCUUCACUCUCUCCUGACUGUCUCCAGAUCUGUGCGUUUCUCUCUCUCUGCAGACCUUUAUCUUUCAGUGUCCCAGACAGGACAGGUAGACGCAGGCCGGGAUCGCUGGAGCUCCAGCACGUGCCGUAUCGGCCGUCAAGAACAUGAACCUCCCAGAGAUGCCCAAAAACAUCAACAUCGGGGACAUCAGCAUCAAAGUGCCAAACCUGCCGUCUUUUAAAUAGUAAACACUGCGGUGAACGCGUGUGUGUGUGUGUGUGUGUGUGUGUGUUUACUGGACCGUGUGUUACUGCACAGAUGAUGAAGGCACUGUGUGAUGACUGUAAAUGAAGUAUUUAUUUGAUUCUUCUGUCCCCUGUGUGUCUCACUCGCUGCGGUGUUGGAGGAGUGUGUGUGUGUGUGUGUGUGUGUGCGUGCGUGAGGCGCUCUGAACAUCAUGCCUAUCAAACAUUCCAGAAUGGAAAGAUCUCCCCGAUGCUGUAUAUGCGUAACUGAUAUAGCUGUAUGUACUGAAGUAUAUUUCUAUAUGGUUUGUCCUCUUUCUUACGCCGGCCGCUUCGCUCCGCUUGGGUUUUUAAGUGCCGCAUGUUUUUCCUUUUGCAGCAGAAUAAAGUAUCAAAUUAUUUUCUUCUUCAA